rnacentral:rRNA from 1 species
AGAGUUUGAUCAUGGCUCAGAUUGAACGCUGGCGGCAGGCCUAACACAUGCAAGUCGAGCGGAAACGAGUUAACUGAACCUUCGGGGGACGAUAACGGCGUCGAGCGGCGGACGGGUGAGUAAUGCCUAGGAAAUUGCCCUGAUGUGGGGGAUAACCAUUGGAAACGAUGGCUAAUACCGCAUGAUGCCUACGGGCCAAAGAGGGGGACCUUCGGGCCUCUCGCGUCAGGAUAUGCCUAGGUGGGAUUAGCUAGUUGGUGAGGUAAGGGCUCACCAAGGCGACGAUCCCUAGCUGGUCUGAGAGGAUGAUCAGCCACACUGGAACUGAGACACGGUCCAGACUCCUACGGGAGGCAGCAGUGGGGAAUAUUGCACAAUGGGCGCAAGCCUGAUGCAGCCAUGCCGCGUGUGUGAAGAAGGCCUUCGGGUUGUAAAGCACUUUCAGUCGUCAGGAAGGUAGUGUAGUUAAUAGCUGCAUUAUUUGACGUUAGCGACAGAAGAAGCACCGGCCAACUCCGUGCCAGCAGCCGCGGUAAUACGGAGGGUGCGAGCGUUAAUCGGAAUUACUGGGCGUAAAGCGCAUGCAGGUGGUUUGUUAAGUCAGAUGUGAAAGCCCGGGGCUCAACCUCGGAAUAGCAUUUGAAACUGGCAGACUAGAGUACUGUAGAGGGGGGUAGAAUUUCAGGUGUAGCGGUGAAAUGCGUAGAGAUCUCAAGGAAUACCGGUGGCGAAGGCGGCCCCCUGGACAGAUACUGACACUCAGAUGCGAAAGCGUGGGGAGCAAACAGGAUUAGAUACCCUGGUAGUCCACGCCGUAAACGAUGUCUACUUGGAGGUUGUGGCCUUGAGCCGUGGCUUUCGGAGCUAACGCGUUAAGUAGACCGCCUGGGGAGUACGGUCGCAAGAUUAAAACUCAAAUGAAUUGACGGGGGCCCGCACAAGCGGUGGAGCAUGUGGUUUAAUUCGAUGCAACGCGAAGAACCUUACCUACUCUUGACAUCCAGAGAACUUUCCAGAGAUGGAUUGGUGCCUUCGGGAACUCUGAGACAGGUGCUGCAUGGCUGUCGUCAGCUCCUGUUGUGAAAUGUUGGGUUAAGUCCCGCAACGAGCGCAACCCUUAUCCUUGUUUGCCAGCGAGUAAUGUCGGGAACUCCAGGGAGACUGCCGGUGAUAAACCGGAGGAAGGUGGGGACGACGUCAAGUCAUCAUGGCCCUUACGAGUAGGGCUACACACGUGCUACAAUGGCGCAUACAGAGGGCGGCCAACUUGCGAAAGUGAGCGAAUCCCAAAAAGUGCGUCGUAGUCCGGAUUGGAGUCUGCAACUCGACUCCAUGAAGUCGGAAUCGCUAGUAAUCGUGGAUCAGAAUGCCACGGUGAAUACGUUCCCGGGCCUUGUACACACCGCCCGUCACACCAUGGGAGUGGGCUGCAAAACAAGUAGGUAGUUUAAC